rnacentral:rRNA from 1 species
GACGAACGCUGGCGGCGUGCUUAACACAUGCAAGUCGAACGGAAAGGCCCUGCUUUUGUGGGGUGCUCGAGUGGCGAACGGGUGAGUAACACGUGAGUAACCUGCCCUUGACUUUGGGAUAACUUCAGGAAACUGGGGCUAAUACCGGAUAGGAGCUCCUGCUGCAUGGUGGGGGUUGGAAAGUUUCGGCGGUUGGGGAUGGACUCGCGGCUUAUCAGCUUGUUGGUGGGGUAGUGGCUUACCAAGGCUUUGACGGGUAGCCGGCCUGAGAGGGUGACCGGCCACAUUGGGACUGAGAUACGGCCCAGACUCCUACGGGAGGCAGCAGUGGGGAAUAUUGCACAAUGGGCGGAAGCCUGAUGCAGCAACGCCGCGUGCGGGAUGACGGCCUUCGGGUUGUAAACCGCUUUCGCCUGUGACGAAGCGUGAGUGACGGUAAUGGGUAAAGAAGCACCGGCUAACUACGUGCCAGCAGCCGCGGUGAUACGUAGGGUGCGAGCGUUGUCCAGAUUUAUUGGGCGUAAAGGGCUCGUAGGUGGUUGAUCGCGUCGGAAGUGUAAUCUUGGGGCUUAACCCUGAGCGUGCUUUCGAUACGGGUUGACUUGAGGAAGGUAGGGGAGAAUGGAAUUCCUGGUGGAGCGGUGGAAUGCGCAGAUAUCAGGAGGAACACCAGUGGCGAAGGCGGUUCUCUGGGCCUUUCCUGACGCUGAGGAGCGAAAGCGUGGGGAGCGAACAGGCUUAGAUACCCUGGUAGUCCACGCUGUAAACGGUGGGUACUAGGUGUGGGGUCCAUUCCACGGGUUCCGUGCCGUAGCUAACGCUUUAAGUACCCCGCCUGGGGAGUACGGCCGCAAGGCUAAAACUCAAAGGAAUUGACGGGGCCCCGCACAAGCGGCGGAGCAUGCGGAUUAAUUCGAUGCAACGCGUAGAACCUUACCUGGGUUUGACAUGGAUCGGGAGUGCUCAGAGAUGGGUGUGCCUCUUUUGGGGUCGGUUCACAGGUGGUGCAUGGCUGUCGUCAGCUCGUGUCGUGAGAUGUUGGGUUAAGUCCCGCAACGAGCGCAACCCUUGUUCACUGUUGCCAGCACGUUAUGGUGGGGACUCAGUGGAGACCGCCGGGGUCAACUCGGAGGAAGGUGGGGAUGACGUCAAGUCAUCAUGCCCCUUAUGUCCAGGGCUUCACGCAUGCUACAAUGGCUGGUACAGAGAGUGGCGAGCCUGUGAGGGUGAGCGAAUCUCGGAAAGCCGGUCUCAGUUCGGAUUGGGGCCUGCAACUCGACCUCAUGAAGUCGGAGUCGCUAGUAAUCGCAGAUCAGCAACGCUGCGGUGAAUACGUUCCCGGGGCU